CAACCAACCAAAUCAAAAUUAUCAAAUGUCCUCAGCAAGAUAAUUCACAUAAUUCUUUAUUAAAUUCUUUUUUAAAUGGGUUAACUCUGAUCUAAAAUAUUAACAAAAUUAUUACUAUAAUAAUUUAUAAAUUGACCAUAAUCAUUUCUUUUUUAAAUGGGUUAUUUUAUAUUUUAGAUCCAAAUAAUAUUUUUAAAGAAUUUAAUAAACAAUUAUGUGAAUUAUCUUGCUGAGGACAUUUGAUAAUUUUGAUUUGGUUG